rnacentral:hammerhead_ribozyme from 1 species
AUCCAGCUGACAAGUCCCGAAUAGGACGAAACGUGCGUCAAACUAGAU